UACGAAGGGGGCUAGCGUUGCUCGGAUUUACUGGGCGUAAAGCGCACGUAGGCGGAUUGUUAAGUCAGGGGUGAAAUCCUGGAGCUCAACUCCAGAACUGCCUUUGAUACUGGCAAUCUUGAGUCCGGAAGAGGUGAGUGGAACUCCUAGUGUAGAGGUGAAAAUUUCGUAGAUAUUGGGGAAGAACACCGGUGGCGAAGGCGGCAACCUGGUCCUUACUGACGAGGCGCAAACUGGGGGAGCAAAACGG
rnacentral:rRNA from 1 species